rnacentral:rRNA from 1 species
GGAAAGAACGGCAGACUAACCAUGCAGUCGAACGGUAGCAGGAUGUGCUUGCACAUCGCUGACGAGUGGCGGACGGGUGAGUAAUGCUUGGGAACUUGCCUUUGCGAGGGGGAUAACAGUUGGAAACGACUGCUAAUACCGCAUAACGUCUUCGGACCAAACGGGGCUUAGGCUCCGGCGCAGAGAGAGGCCCAAGUGAGAUUAGCUAGUUGGUGGGGUAAAGGCUCACCAAGGCAACGAUCUCUAGCUGUUCUGAGAGGAAGAUCAGCCACACUGGGACUGAGACACGGCCCAGACUCCUACGGGAGGCAGCAGUGGGGAAUAUUGCACAAUGGGGGAAACCCUGAUGCAGCCAUGCCGCGUGUGUGAAGAAGGCCUUCGGGUUGUAAAGCACUUUCAGUUGUGAGGAAAAGUUAGUAGUUAAUACCUGCUAGCCGUGACGUUAACAACAGAAGAAGCACCGGCUAACUCCGUGCCAGCAGCCGCGGUAAUACGGAGGGUGCGAGCGUUAAUCGGAAUUACUGGGCGUAAAGCGCACGCAGGCGGUUUGUUAAGCUAGAUGUGAAAGCCCCGGGCUCAACCUGGGAUGGUCAUUUAGAACUGGCAGACUAGAGUCUUGGAGAGGGGAGUGGAAUUCCAGGUGUAGCGGUGAAAUGCGUAGAUAUCUGGAGGAACAUCAGUGGCGAAGGCGACUCCCUGGCCAAAGACUGACGCUCAUGUGCGAAAGUGUGGGUAGCGAACAGGAUUAGAUACCCUGGUAGUCCACACCGUAAACGCUGUCUACUAGCUGUUUGUGACUUUAAGUCGUGAGUAGCGAAGCUAACGCGAUAAGUAGACCGCCUGGGGAGUACGGCCGCAAGGUUAAAACUCAAAUGAAUUGACGGGGGCCCGCACAAGCGGUGGAGCAUGUGGUUUAAUUCGAUGCAACGCGAAGAACCUUACCUACACUUGACAUGCAGAGAACUUUCUAGAGAUAGAUUGGUGCCUUCGGGAACUCUGACACAGGUGCUGCAUGGCUGUCGUCAGCUCGUGUCGUGAGAUGUUGGGUUAAGUCCCGCAACGAGCGCAACCCUUGGCCCUUAGUUGCCAGCAUUCAGGUGGGGCACUCUAAGGGAGACUGCCGGGUGACAAACCGGAAGGAAGGUGGGGGACGACGUCAAGUCAUCAUGGGCCCUUACGGUGUAGGGGUU